rnacentral:lncRNA from 1 species
CAAGAUGUAUGUUCAAUUAGCUGACCGCUCAAUCAAAUAUCUUAUCGGUAUACUAGAGAAUGUCCUAGUACGUGUAGGACAAUUCUACAUUCCUACAACUUCAUAAUCAUGGACAUCAAAUAAGAUGCCAGUACACCUAUUAUAUUAGGAAGGUCAUUCUUAGCUACCGCCGGAGCCAUAAUAAACGUAAAGAGAGGUAAGCUAACAUUCGAAGUUGG